rnacentral:rRNA from 1 species
UACGAAGGUGGCAAGCGUUGUUCGGAUUUACUGGGCGUAAAGGGCGCGUAGGCGGCCUCUGCAAGUCGACUGUGAAAUCUCCGGGCUUAACCCGGAAAGGUCAGCCGAUACUGCAGGGCUAGAGUGCAGAAGGGGCAACUGGAAUUCUCGGUGUAGCGGUGAAAUGCGUAGAUAUCGAGAGGAACACCUGCGGCGAAGGCGGGUUGCUGGGCUGACACUGACGCUGAAGUGCGAAAGCUAGGGGAGCGAACGGG